AUCUCAGUUCAGAUUGCAGGCUGCAACUCGCCUGCAUGAAGUCGGAAUUGCUAGUAAUCGUAGGUCAGCAUACUACGGUGAAUACGUUCCCGGGCCUUGUACACACCGCCCGUCAAACCAUGGGAGUCGGGAACACCCGAAGUCCGUAGCCUAACCGCAAGGGGGCGCGGCCGAAGGUGGGUUCGAUAAUUGGGGUGAAGUCGUAACAAGGUACC
rnacentral:rRNA from 1 species